UACGAAGGGGGCUAGCGUUGCUCGGAAUGACUGGGCGUAAAGGGCGCGUAGGCGGACUGCACAGUCAGGCGUGAAAUUCCUGGGCUCAACCUGGGGACUGCGUCUAAUACAUGUAGGCUUGAGUGUGAAAGAGGGUCGUGGAAUUUCCAGUGUAGAGGUGAAAUUCGUAGAUAUUGGAAAGAACACCGGUGGCGAAGGCGGCGACCUGGUUCAUUACUGACGCUGAGGAGCGAAAGCGUGGGGAGCAAACAGG
rnacentral:rRNA from 1 species